CCUACGGGCGGCUGCAGUGGGGAAUAUUGGACAAUGGGCGAAAGCCUGAUCCAGCCAUGCCGCGUGUGUGAAGAAGGCCUUCGGGUUGUAAAGCACUUUCAGUGGGGAAGAAAGCCUUGGGGCUAAUACCCUCGAGGAAGGACAUCACCCACAGAAGAAGCACCGGCUAACUCCGUGCCAGCAGCCGCGGUAAUACGGAGGGUGCGAGCGUUAAUCGGAAUUACUGGGCGUAAAGCGCGCGUAGGCGGUCUGAUAAGCCGGUUGUGAAAGCCCCGGGCUCAACCUGGGAACGGCAUCCGGAACUGUCAGGCUAGAGUGCAGGAGAGGAAGGUAGAAUUCCCGGUGUAGCGGUGAAAUGCGUAGAGAUCGGGAGGAACACCAGUGGCGAAGGCGGCCUUCUGGACUGACACUGACGCUGAGGUGCGAAAGCGUGGGUAGCAAACAGGAUUAGAUACCCCAGUAGUC
rnacentral:rRNA from 1 species